rnacentral:rRNA from 1 species
UAGGGAAUCUUCCACAAUGGGCGAAAGCCUGAUGGAGCAACGCCGCGUGUGUGAUGAAGGGUUCCGGCUCGUAAAACACUGUUGUAAGAGAAGAAUGACAUUGAGAGUAACUGUUCAAUGUGUGACGGUAUCUUACCGGAAAGGACGGCUAAAUACGGUGCCAG